UGAACAUAAGAGUUUGAUCCUGGCUCAGAUUGAACGCUGGCGGCAUGCUUUACACAUGCAAGUCGGACGGCAGCACGAGUACUUGUACUUGGUGGCGAG
rnacentral:rRNA from 1 species